CCCUUAGAUGUUCUGGGCUGCAUGCGCGCUACACUGAAGCUAUCAACACGUUUUCCCUCCCUGAGAAGGGCGGGUAGCCUUUUGAAUCAGCUUCGUGGUAGGGAUCGGGGCUUGCAAUUGUUCCCCGUGAACCAGGAAUUCCUAGUAGACGCGAGUCAUAAGCUCGCAUCGAUUAAGUCCCUGCCCUUUGUACACACCGCCCGUCGCUACUACCGAUUGAACGUUUUAGUGAGGCAUUUGGACCGACGCAUCUCAGUUUAACCGCUGGUUUGUGUUGGAAAGACUUCCAAACUUGAGCGUUUAGAGGAAGUAAAAGUCGUAACA
rnacentral:rRNA from 1 species